AUAAGCAGCCAUAUCACUCUGCAACUCACAACUGGCAGCCCACUGAAGCUAAGCAGGUGUGAGCCUGGUCAGUACCUGGAUCGGAGACCUCCUGGGAAAAACUAAGGUUGCUGCUGGAA
ensembl:rRNA 5S_rRNA 5S ribosomal RNA